rnacentral:rRNA from 1 species
UGGAACAACUUACCGAAAGGUGAGCUAAUGCCGGAUGAGUUAUAUAAGUGCAUGUUUAUAUAGGAAAAGUUGGGGAGACCUGACGCUGAAAGAUGGACUCGCGUCCCAUUAGCUAGUUGGUAGGGUAAUGGCCUACCAAGGCGACGAUGGGUAGCCGGCCUGAGAGGGUGGCCGGCCACACUGGGACUGAGACACGGCCCAGACUCCUACGGGAGGCAGCAGUGGGGAAUUUUGCGCAAUGCUCGUAAGAGUGACGCAGCGACGCCGCGUGAAUGACGAAGGCCUUCGGGUCGUAAAGUUCUUUCGACAGGGAAGAAAAUGCCUAUAAGUAACUGUGUAUGUAUUGACGGUACCUGUAUAAGCAGCCCCGGCUAACUCCGUGCCAGCAGCCGCGGUAAUACGGAGGGGGCGAGCGUUGUUCGGAGUGACUGGGCGUAAAGAGCACGUAGGCGGUGUUGUAAGUCAUUAGUCAAAGACUAGAGCUCAACUUUAGUAAGGCUAGUGAUACUAUAAUACUAGAGUAUCAGAGAGGAUUGCAGAAUUCCUGGUGUAGCGGUGAAAUGCGUA